GUGCUGGUUUUGGCAGCACAUCUACUAAACCUGGAAUGAUAGAUUAAGCAUGGUCCCUGAGCAAGGAUGACACAUAAAUUCUGUGAAUCUAUGUAAGUAUCA